rnacentral:rRNA from 1 species
AGCAGUCGCCGCGGUAAUACGUAGGUCCCGAGCGUUGUCCGGAUUUAUUGGGCGUAAAGCGAGCGCAGGCGGUUAGAUAAGUCUGAAGUGAAAGGCAGUGGCUCAACCAUUGUAGGCUUUGGAAACUGUUUAACUUGAGUGCAGAAGGGGAGAGUGGAAUUCCAUGUGUAGCGGUGAAAUGCGUAGAUAUAUGGAGGAACACCGGUGGCGAAAGCGGCUCUCUGGUCUGUAACUGACGCUGAGGCUCGAAAGCGUGGGGAGCGAACAGGAUUAGAUACCCCUGUAGUCCCUGUCUCUUAUACA